AUGGAUAAGGUCAUCACAUGCAUGAAGAAGGUGAGUCACAUGCAUGAAGAAGUGCAUUGCUUUAGGACUUGACAGAUGAAGUCAGUACCUCCCCAAAUUUCUCUGCUGGAAGACCCUCCGGAAUAUCUUCCUUUGGCCCUUGGGGGAUGCUGGUCCACUCCACAGGGCCCCCUGCAGCUCCAUCUGAUUAUAAAGCUUCUCCCUAAUGGGCAAGAUCUCACACAUGAUAGAGCCAUAAAACGCGGCACUCUGGCUGGCCCAGCUGCUUGUCUGAUAAGGGAGAUCGAGGGACAUGCCAGCAUGGGCAGAGGGCACUGGGUCUUACCCCGCCCCCAUGCCUCCCCCCCAUCCCAACUGGUCUCGGCUUCCAUCAUGUCAGAAGGCCUGCUCUGCAGAACACAAAGCCCAUGCUUUCCAAUGACAAGGAUUCCAUGUUCACGUAAGUUUGGGAAAUGCCCCCUAAUGUCUCUCCUCCUAGAGAUUCGAAACAGCCAUGAGCACAGUCAUGGCCGCGAGGGGGCUUCCAGUAAAGAAAACCUGGUUGCAGUGAGCCGAGAUUGCACCACUGCCCUCCAGCCUGUCACAGUGGUGAGAGAGACCUGUAGUCUCCUAGGAGGCAUGAAGCACCUUCCCACACUCUCUGCACAUACCCAUCUCCGGGGGAUGUGGUCCAGGGGCAGGUUCUGACCCUCCUGCCCCAGGCCUGGGCUAGGGCUUGAGAAGCCAUGUCUCUCACAAGCUCCCGGGGACAGUGGUGCUGCAGGUCCACAGGCCGUAGGGAUCCAGAGUGGCUGCUGAGAAGACAGAGCCUAAAGAGGUUAAACCGUGCCUAUGGUCACCUGGGACUAUCUGACGAAGCUGAGAUUUGAAGUGACUUUUGGAUCCCAGAGCUGA